UACGUAGGCAGCAAGCGUUGUUCGGAAUUACUGGGCGUAAAGAGUGUGUAGGCGGUGCUCUAAGUCUGUCGUGAAAUCUCCCGGCUUAACUGGGAGGGUGCGGCGGAAACUGGAAUGCUAGAGGGUGGGAGAGGAAAGCGGAAUUCCUGGUGUAGCGGUGAAAUGCGUAGAUAUCAGGAGGAACACCUGCGGUGUAGACAGCUUUCUGGACCACUUCUGACGCUGAGGAGCGAAAGCGUGGGGAGCGAACAGG
rnacentral:rRNA from 1 species